AUUGAACGCUGGCGGCAUGCCUUACACAUGCAAGUCGAACGGUAACAGGUCUUCGGAUGCUGACGAGUGGCGAACGGGUGAGUAAUGCAUCGGAACGUGCCCAGUAGUGGGGGAUAGCCCGGCGAAAGCCGGAUUAAUACCGCAUACGACCUGAGGGUGAAAGGGGGGGAUCGCAAGACCUCUCGCAAUUGGAGCGGCCGAUGUCAGAUUAGCUCGUUGGUGGGGUAAAGGCCUACCAAGGCAACGAUCUGGAGUUGGUCUGAGAGGUCGACCAGCCACACGUGGACUGAGACACGGCCCAGAAUCGUACGAGAGGCAGCAGUGGGGAAUUUUGGACAAUGGGCGCAAGCCUGGUCCAGAAAUGCCGCGUGCAGGAAGAAGGCCUUCGGGUUGUAAACUGCUUUUGUCAGGGAAGAAAUCUUCUGGGUUAAUACCUCGGGAGGAUGACGGUACCUGAAGAAUAAGCACCGGCUAACUACGUGCCAGCAGCCGCCGUAAGAC
rnacentral:rRNA from 1 species